GGCAGCCCUUUUGGGAUGCUCUCUCUCUCUCCUCUUUUCCUCCAUUUUUUUCAUAUUUUCUUUAGUUUUAUUUGGGGAAUUUAGAAAGACUCACUCAAGUCUUGAAGGGAAUCGUCAUCAAGAGCACCACACCUCUAUUUUGGGUAGUUGGGUGAAGAAAUUGCUUGGUUCAUACUAGCUCAUAGCUAGGAGUGACUAAGCUAAUUCUCCCCUCUCUUCCUUAUUAUCUAUUCCAUAAUUUUAUUUGCUAUUGAUGAUGUAUUUAACUAUGGAUAGUGAGUAGUUCAAUUUUGGGAGUUAGGGUUGUGAACCCCUAACUCAUCUUGUAUAAAUAUUGAUGCUUUAAUUUUAAUAAAUGCAAUUUCCAUUGUCUUGCUUGGGUCUCUAUUAUCUUGCUCUCUAGGCCUCUAAUUUUGGAUAUUGCGGCCUUAACCGGCGUAAUGCCCAAAUUAGAGAGUUGAUUGUGGCCCUAACCGGCAUAAUCGAUACACCGAAAGGAUAAUUGGUUU
rnacentral:lncRNA from 1 species